GGGUUGUGAGGUUAAGCGACUAAGCGUACACGGUGGAUGCCCUGGCAGUCAGAGGCGAUGAAGGACGUGCUAAUCUGCGAUAAGCGUCGGUAAGGUGAUAUGAACCGUUAUAACCGGCGAUUUCCGAAUGGGGAAACCCAGUGUGAUUCGUCACACUAUCAUUAACUGAAUCCAUAGGUUAAUGAGGCGAACCGGGGGAACUGAAACAUCUAAGUACCCCGAGGAAAAGAAAUCAACCGAGAUUCCCCCAGUAGCGGCGAGCGAACGGGGAGCAGCCCAGAGCCUGAAUCAGUGUGUGUGUUAGUGGAAGCGUCUGGAAAGGCGCGCGAUACAGGGUGACAGCCCCGUACACAAAAAUGCACAUGCUGUGAGCUCGAUGAGUAGGGCGGGACACGUGGUAUCCUGUCUGAAUAUGGGGGGACCAUCCUCCAAGGCUAAAUACUCCUGACUGACCGAUAGUGAACCAGUACCGUGAGGGAAAGGCGAAAAGAACCCCGGCGAGGGGAGUGAAAAAGAACCUGAAACCGUGUACGUACAAGCAGUGGGAGCACGCUUAGGCGUGUGACUGCGUACCUUUUGUAUAAUGGGUCAGCGACUUAUAUUCUGUAGCAAGGUUAACCGAAUAGGGGAGCCGAAGGGAAACCGAGUCUUAACUGGGCGUUAAGUUGCAGGGUAUAGACCCGAAACCCGGUGAUCUAGCCAUGGGCAGGUUGAAGGUUGGGUAACACUAACUGGAGGACCGAACCGACUAAUGUUGAAAAAUUAGCGGAUGACUUGUGGCUGGGGGUGAAAGGCCAAUCAAACCGGGAGAUAGCUGGUUCUCCCCGAAAGCUAUUUAGGUAGCGCCUCGUGAAUUCAUCUCCGGGGGUAGAGCACUGUUUCGGCAAGGGGGUCAUCCCGACUUACCAACCCGAUGCAAACUGCGAAUACCGGAGAAUGUUAUCACGGGAGACACACGGCGGGUGCUAACGUCCGUCGUGAAGAGGGAAACAACCCAGACCGCCAGCUAAGGUCCCAAAGUCAUGGUUAAGUGGGAAACGAUGUGGGAAGGCCCAGACAGCCAGGAUGUUGGCUUAGAAGCAGCCAUCAUUUAAAGAAAGCGUAAUAGCUCACUGGUCGAGUCGGCCUGCGCGGAAGAUGUAACGGGGCUAAACCAUGCACCGAAGCUGCGGCAGCGACGCUUAUGCGUUGUUGGGUAGGGGAGCGUUCUGUAAGCCUGUGAAGGUGUGCUGUGAGGCAUGCUGGAGGUAUCAGAAGUGCGAAUGCUGACAUAAGUAACGAUAAAGCGGGUGAAAAGCCCGCUCGCCGGAAGACCAAGGGUUCCUGUCCAACGUUAAUCGGGGCAGGGUGAGUCGACCCCUAAGGCGAGGCCGAAAGGCGUAGUCGAUGGGAAACAGGUUAAUAUUCCUGUACUUGGUGUUACUGCGAAGGGGGGACGGAGAAGGCUAUGUUGGCCGGGCGACGGUUGUCCCGGUUUAAGCGUGUAGGCUGGUUUUCCAGGCAAAUCCGGAAAAUCAAGGCUGAGGCGUGAUGACGAGGCACUACGGUGCUGAAGCAACAAAUGCCCUGCUUCCAGGAAAAGCCUCUAAGCAUCAGGUAACAUCAAAUCGUACCCCAAACCGACACAGGUGGUCAGGUAGAGAAUACCAAGGCGCUUGAGAGAACUCGGGUGAAGGAACUAGGCAAAAUGGUGCCGUAACUUCGGGAGAAGGCACGCUGAUAUGUAGGUGAAGUCCCUCGCGGAUGGAGCUGAAAUCAGUCGAAGAUACCAGCUGGCUGCAACUGUUUAUUAAAAACACAGCACUGUGCAAACACGAAAGUGGACGUAUACGGUGUGACGCCUGCCCGGUGCCGGAAGGUUAAUUGAUGGGGUUAGCGCAAGCGAAGCUCUUGAUCGAAGCCCCGGUAAACGGCGGCCGUAACUAUAACGGUCCUAAGGUAGCGAAAUUCCUUGUCGGGUAAGUUCCGACCUGCACGAAUGGCGUAAUGAUGGCCAGGCUGUCUCCACCCGAGACUCAGUGAAAUUGAACUCGCUGUGAAGAUGCAGUGUACCCGCGGCAAGACGGAAAGACCCCGUGAACCUUUACUAUAGCUUGACACUGAACAUUGAGCCUUGAUGUGUAGGAUAGGUGGGAGGCUUUGAAGUGUGGACGCCAGUCUGCAUGGAGCCGACCUUGAAAUACCACCCUUUAAUGUUUGAUGUUCUAACGUUGACCCGUGAUCCGGGUUGCGGACAGUGUCUGGUGGGUAGUUUGACUGGGGCGGUCUCCUCCUAAAGAGUAACGGAGGAGCACGAAGGUUGGCUAAUCCUGGUCGGACAUCAGGAGGUUAGUGCAAUGGCAUAAGCCAGCUUGACUGCGAGCGUGACGGCGCGAGCAGGUGCGAAAGCAGGUCAUAGUGAUCCGGUGGUUCUGAAUGGAAGGGCCAUCGCUCAACGGAUAAAAGGUACUCCGGGGAUAACAGGCUGAUACCGCCCAAGAGUUCAUAUCGACGGCGGUGUUUGGCACCUCGAUGUCGGCUCAUCACAUCCUGGGGCUGAAGUAGGUCCCAAGGGUAUGGCUGUUCGCCAUUUAAAGUGGUACGCGAGCUGGGUUUAGAACGUCGUGAGACAGUUCGGUCCCUAUCUGCCGUGGGCGCUGGAGAAUUGAGGGGGGCUGCUCCUAGUACGAGAGGACCGGAGUGGACGCAUCACUGGUGUUCGGGUUGUCAUGCCAAUGGCACUGCCCGGUAGCUAAAUGCGGAAGAGAUAAGUGCUGAAAGCAUCUAAGCACGAAACUUGCCCCGAGAUGAGUUCUCCCUGACUCCUUGAGAGUCCUGAAGGAACGUUGAAGACGACGACGUUGAUAGGCCGGGUGUGUAAGCGCAGCGAUGCGUUGAGCUAACCGGUACUAAUGAACCGUGAGGCUUAACCUUACAACGCCGAAG
rnacentral:rRNA from 1 species